rnacentral:rRNA from 1 species
GACGAACGCUGGCGGCGUGCUUAACACAUGCAAGUCGAACGGAAAGGCCCUGCUUUUGUGGGGUGCUCGAGUGGUGAACGGGUGAGUAACACGUGAGUAACCUGCCCUUGACUUUGGGAUAACUUCAGGCAACUGGGGCUAAUACCGGAUAGGAGCUCCUGCUGCAUGGUGGGGGUUGGAAAGUUUCGGCGGUUGGGGAUGGACUCGCGGCUUAUCAGCUUGUUGGUGGGGUAGUGGCUUACCAAGGGUUUGACGGGUAGCCGGCCUGAGAGGGUGACCGGCCACAUUGGGACUGAGAUACGGCCCAGACUCCUACGGGAGGCAGCAGUGGGGAAUAUUGCACAAUGGGCGGAAGCCUGAUGCAGCAACGCCGCGUGCGGGAUGACGGCCUUCGGGUUGUAAACCGCUUUCGCCUGUGACGAAGCGUGAGUGACGGUAAUGGGUAAAGAAGCACCGGCUAACUACGUG